GCGGGGAAGCAAGUCAGAUGUGAAAACCACGGGCUCAACCUGUGGCCUGCAUUUGAAACUGUUUCCCUUGAGUGUCGGAGAGGUAAUCGGAAUUCCUUGUGUAGCGGUGAAAUGCGUAGAUAUAAGGAAGAACACCAGUGGCGAAGGCGGAUUACUGGACGAUAACUGACGGUGAGGCGCGAAAGCGUGGGGAGCAAACAGG
rnacentral:rRNA from 1 species